CAAUAGGGUUUGGAGGGGGUUUUCCAUAGUAACGAUUACAAAAAGGAGCCAGUGCCAUGAAGACAAGAGCAGGGCUGUAAAAACAAGUCUCUCCCAAGGUAAAAAUCUUUGUUCAGCAAGUUUGCAUGCGAUAAGAGUUUGAGAAAAGCUUGCAGAAGCAGAAUCAAAGGGACCAUAGAUUUUAAAAGAUUCAUCACAUCAACAGUGGCACAUCCUGGAUUGCCGUACAGGCAAGUUACCCAGUAAUACACUUCAGGAUCUGAACUUUCUCUCUGACUUUUCUCGCUGUUUUGUUAGUGUGAACAAUGAAUUCUGAGACUCAGUAUGAAGACUCUGUUUCUACACUGGUGUUAGAGAACAUCAAAAAUAAACUGAUCAACGCUUUCAGAGAAUCUGGACAGCAUGCAGCUGCUUCUUGUAGUAGUAACAAUUCUUAUAGUUUAGUUACAAAGGACAUCCAAGCAAAUGAGGAGCUCAGGAGAGCUAAAAUAGAUGGAGCAAUAACCUGGCUACGGACAGAAUUGCUGGAGAUGCGAUCCCAGGACAGACAGCUUGCUAAAACAUUACUGGACUUAAACACAGAGAUACAGAGACUAAGACGAGAACAUGAAUCAUCUAAUUCAGACAAGAAACCAAAAGCUAAUAACAAUGACCCUGAAACAUCUUUCCAUGGCGGUGGAACAGAUGAGGAUCAGUCUUUUAUUCAGAUGAACUGAAAAAACAGAUGCUCUCAAGCACUUGAGUUUUUAUUUUUUCAGCUGAGUGAUCUUUUCCAAAUGUUAUCUCACAAUGGACUACCAACUGUAAAACUUGCACAAAAGCAAGCGUUUUCAUUCUUCUCUAAAUCUGCCCUUGAGCUUGUCUAAAGAAUCCUAAAUGCCAGGACUGAACAGCCUUCCUCAAUGUGACGUUUCAACUCUGCCAGCCCAAGCUAUGCAUCUGUAUUAAUAGAGGUCAAAACAAGCUCAAAGUCAGGUAAAUGCAGAUGUAGUGAAAAAUGAUAAGAACAAAUUACAGAAACAAAACCCAUAACCACUUACUUACAAUACCAUAAGAUAGUAAAGGAAAUAUCAAAUUAAAUUUAAAUGAUUUUUUUAAAUCUACACAUUCUUUAAGAAUAAUGACUGCUCUCUCUUCUGAUUUCUUGCAAGUUUUAAACUGUUACAACAGUUUUACUCUUAGAAAUGUUGCCUUCAAAUGAAGGCCCUUUGGGGAAAUUCACAAAGCCAUUGUAAUAUUUAUUUUUUUCCUCUCAGACAGUAAAUGGCUUUUUUAAUAAUUGCAGAUUAGAAACUUAAAGUUGAAUACAUAGCUUUUUGUUUACAUGUGUUAUGUGAAAAACGGUGGCAUAUUGCUGUCACUGCUCUUUUUGUAUUAUUUAUGGUAUGGAAAAAAUUAGGGUUUACAAAAUUCUGUGGCCUAUCUUAAUAUAUAAAGAAGAAAGUUUGUCUGUCUGUCUGUUCCUUUAUGCAUUUGGACCCCGCAGGAGCCAGUGCAACCAAACUUUGCAUGGCCUCCUCUUUCAUUAUUAUUAUUCAUUUGUUAGCAGACGCCCUUAUCCAGGGCGACUUACAAUUGUUACAAGAUAUCACAUUAUUUUUACACAUUAUUUUUUUUUUAACAUACAAUUACCCAUUUAUACAGUUGGGUUUUUACUGGAGCAAUCUAGGUAAAGUACCUUGCUCAAGGGUACAGCAGCAAUGUUCCCUACCUGGGAUUGAACCCACAACUCUCCAGUCAAGAGUCCAGAGCCCUAACCACAACUCCACACUGCUGCCCCUAAUUACAUUUCAUCCAAAAUUUUGAACCCUGGGGUACUUUAUAUAAUAACCACAUUGCUUGAUCACUACAGUAGCCAUGUACAGUAUCUCAAAUUAAAGAAACCCACAAAACAAAAAAAAUAAAUAAAAAGAACAAACAUCUUAAAAAAAUUAAAAAUGGCAAAAACUGAAAAACAGUUAAAAAAAAAGAAAAGGAGUCCGAGCGUACUGUGCGACACCCAAGAUCGGUAACUUAUAGGAAACCAUAAGGCUACCUUUCCCCAAUUUGUCAUACAUGAAACUUUGAAAUACUGAAUACCAGGCAAUGCCGGGUACUUCAGCUAGUACAGUAUAUUUAAACAUUUAGUUCAUAGGCCAAAUGCACCCUCAUCCUUUUAACAAAUAGGUCUUGAAAUGACUUAUUUUAUGAAAAAAAUAACAAGCAAAAGCAAGCAGUGACGGCAGCAUAUGAAUCUAUUACAGUUCAGAGACGAUCUAUAUUGUUGUUACUGUACAUCAACAGUGUGGUUGAAAUACUGUAAGUGGAGAGCAAGUGCUCCUUCAGACAAAAUAAAAUCUUGCCACUGUCUUAAAACAAUUGUCAGAGAUUGUUUUUUCUGUUUUCCUGUCAGCUAAAUUUAUCAUACACAGUUGCUACUUUAUACAAACAAAGCAUGUCAAAUAUAAAGUCUGUCUUAAUAAAAUAAACAAAUAUAAUUUAGGUUUAAUGUUUUUAACAUUUUUUAAAACCUUAUAGACGAUGGAAUUCUAUGUAAAACUGUGUGGUAACUACCAGUACUAAAGAUUACAUUUUACUCAAAAAGAAAGAAAACCUGCACAUGUAUUCCCCUAUUUAUGAAUUGUUUCUGAUGGACAGUAGUAUUAGUGCUGCACUAUUGACAUGUACCUGUGCUGGCCCUGUGGGCACAAAGUGAAUAAACUAAACUAAACUUAA